AUUUCGGCAUUUGCCCCCCAAUUUUCAGUUUCCCUCCAUUUCUCCCUAUUUUCGGCGUCGACCACCACCCCCCUCCUCCACUGUCCCACUCUCCCACCAAACGGCCAACACCGUCCGGCCCUCUCAGAACACGGUCCCUCUCAAACCAUCGAUCUCGACCCAAGCGAACCCAUUUCCCAAAAGUCGACGGUGCGCCGGCCACCAACCCACCGACAGAUCGCCGACCAGCAGACCGAGCGCUGCUCGUCUCUCUCUCUCUCUCUCUCUCUCUCUCUCUCUCUCUCUCUCUCUCAGAUUUUGGGUCUCUCUCCUUGCUGACCCACCGACCACCACCCAUCGGAGCACCCCCCCUCUCUCUUGCCGUUUUCCUGCUGGCAUAUAUCUGGACCGGUUUGAUCGUGGAGGAGUUGAUUGAUUUGAUCAUCUUCUAACAUCUUGGAAUCUCAGGCCUAUUUGGUACUAUGACGGUUGCGGCAUUGGAGGGUGUUGUUCUGCCACCAAGGCGACCCAGUUAACAAACAUGGAGGUGGAUGAGCGUGAGGAGACCACAUUGCAUGAUGUCGACAUUGAGGAGAUGAGGAGGAAGCAUGCCUAGAAGUGAUGAUCCAUUAUUUGGUUGGGAAAAGUAGUUAUCUAUGUGCAAAACCAGACCUGAAAAAUUUAUUGUAGGUGGAUAUUAGGAAGUGAGUUAUGUCUUUUUAGCGUGAUCGGUGAUCAUUCAAAAACAGUGUUUUUUUUUUUUUUUUUUUUUUUUUUUUUAAUGAUUGAAGUCUUGUAAUCUCUGUCACUUCAUAAUAUGACUGCAUUUCUUUGAACUU